GCCCAUUCUGUUGUGAUUGCUGUAAAGGACUGCACAUAACACAUCUGUUUCUGCAUCUAAGGUUUGGCUCUUCAGCGACAGUAUGACGAGAUGGCAUUCUUUAAUUACAGCUGCAAUGCAAAGGUCUGAAGCAGAGACAUCUAAUAAGAUUUAGUAUGUAUUUCUACAGUAAGUAUAUUAUAUUAAAAACACACUAAAAAAAGCAUCUUUCCUUAUUUGUUUUAAAGGAAUCAAAAACUAAUGUAAUCAGUCUCAACUGUAAGAACGUAAGGAUUCUAAGUAUAAGAGAAGUUGGAAAAUGGUAACAGAUGAUAUAAAGUCCAGGAAAUCAUUAAGAGAACAUCUGUAAAACAAGAAGCUGUAUCUUUGCAUUGCAUUUUAUCAUGGUUUAAUAAUCUUUCAUAUGAAUACUUUGCUGUCAGUCAUUUGGUGUACACUUACGCCUCAUGUGUACACUUAACCCCCACCUUGAAGGUAGGGCACAUGUCACAACAUGUGUAAUAACUCUCUAACUCCCCAUGUCGCUAUGCCCGAAAGCAAGACAGAAUGAAUAAAUUCACAGUCUUC
rnacentral:lncRNA from 1 species